rnacentral:rRNA from 1 species
AACGCGAAGAACCUUACCCAGGCUCGAAAUGUAGGGGGCGCACUCAGAGAUGAGUGUUUCCGUAAGGACUCCUAUAUAGGUGCUGCAUGGCUGUCGUCAGCUCGUGCCGUGAGGUGUUUGGUUAAGUCCAGCAACGAGCGCAACCCUUAUCAUUAGUUGCCAACAUUUAAGGUGGGAACUCUAAUGAGACUGCCUGGGUUAACCAGGAGGAAGGUGAGGAUGACGUCAAGUCCGCAUGGCCUUUAUGUCUGGGGCUACACACGUGCUACAAUGGUCGGUACAGAAGGCUGCAAGACCGUAAGGUGGAGCAAAUCCGUAAAGCCGAUCUCAGUUCAGAUUGUGGUCUGCAACUCGACCACAUGAAGUUGGAAUUGCUAGUAAUGACGUGUCAGCAACAGCGUCGUGAAUACGUUCCCGGGCCUUGUACACACCGCAUAC